rnacentral:rRNA from 1 species
UACGGAGGGUGCGAGCGUUACUCGGAAUUACUGGGCGUAAAGCGCGCGUAGGCGGUUUGUUAAGUCAGCUGUGAAAGCCCCGGGCUCAACCUGGGAACUGCAGUUGAUACUGGCCGACUAGAGUACGAGAGAGGGAGGUAGAAUUCCAUGUGUAGCGGUGAAAUGCGUAGAUAUAUGGAGGAAUACCAGUGGCGAAGGCGGCCUCCUGGCUCGAUACUGACGCUGAGGUGCGAAAGCGUGGGGAUCAAACAGG